CCCUUAGACGUUCUGGGCCGCACGCGCGCUACACUGACCAGUGCAACAAGCAUCCGUCCUUGGCCGACAGGCCCGGGCAAUCUUUGAAUCUGCAUCGUGACGGGGAUAGAUUAUUGCAAUUAUUAAUCUUCAACGAGGAAUGCCUAGUAGGCGCAAGUCAUCAGCUUGCGUCGAUUACGUCCCUGCCCUUUGUACACACCGCCCGUCGCUCCUACCGAUUGGGUGUGCUGGUGAAAUGUUCGGAUCGGCCGUUUGUCGCGGUUUCCGCGUCAUGUGGCUGAGAAGUUCAUUAAACCCUCCCACCUAGAGGAAGGAGAAGUCGUAACA
rnacentral:rRNA from 1 species